rnacentral:rRNA from 1 species
GUCUUUUUGAAUUUAAUUUAAAGUCUGACCUGCCCAAUGAUAAUUUUAAUGGCCGCAGUAUUUUGACUGUGCAAAGGUAGCAUAAUCAUUAGUUUUUUAAUUGAAAACUGGUAUGAAAGGUUGGACGAGAAAAUAACUGUCUCUUUAUUAAUGUUUUAGAAUUUUAUUUUUAAGUUAAAAAGCUUAAAUAAUUUUAAAAGACGAGAAGACCCUAUAGAGUUUUAUUAAUUUAAUAAUUAAUUUUUAUAUAGAAUAGUUUUAUUUUUAUUAUUGAAUUAAUUUGAUUGGGGUGAUUGAAAAAUUUAAAUAACUUUUUUUAUAUAUAAACAUUUAUUUAUGAUAAAUUGAUCCAUAAUUUAUGAUUAUAAGAUUAAAUUACCUUAGGGAUAACAGCAUAAUUUCUUUUUAGAGUUCUAAUCGAUAAAGAAGUUUGUGACCUCGAUGUUGGAUUAAAAUAAAUUUUUGGUGUAGUAGCUAAAAUAUUAGGUCUGUUCGACCUUUAAAAUUUUACA